UCCGUCAAUUGGGUAGGCUGCUCGGUUCUCACCGCGCAGUUAGACGCAACCCUGACGCAACCCUUAUUGGAAUUGGAAAAUGGUGAUUUCUUCAUCAUGUCACUUUCCUCUAUGGAACUGUUGAGUUUAAUUGUUUUCGUACAGUUUAAAAAGCGAAACAAUGUAUGUCAGGGAGCCUACCCCCAUUUUAAAUUUUCAACUUAAACAUAAAUAUCUCUCUACAGGAAUUGACUGUUAUUAAAAUUGCUGCAAGGUUU
rnacentral:telomerase_RNA from 1 species